UAUAUUGUUUCGGUUGUAUAUAUGAGGUAUAAUGGUAUUGCUACUUAAGUAGCUAUGGUGAUAAACGUUAUUUGGAAUAGGGGUUGCGGACCCGGGGGCGGUACCCGGCGCCUCCACCAUUAAUAUUUUAUAUCAUUUUUCAGAUUCAAGUAGUACAAGGCGCGAGGAGCAACGUAUAGUAAUAUUUAAUCUAGGAAUUGGUGUUAUGGGGGCGAAGUAGGAUCGACGUGCUUAAUAAAGAAAUAAUUUUUACCCAGUAUGAUUCCGCUGUGAUCUUUGAUCGUGGGUCAAACAAAGUAAAUGCAAACGAUAAUUCACGUAUGCAGGCUGUAGCUUAGAGAUAAGCAAUGCCGCGGGGUUGGGGGCUUACCUUGCAACAGAAAAGCCCUAUU
rnacentral:tmRNA from 1 species